rnacentral:rRNA from 1 species
UACGUAGGGGCGAGCGUUGUCCGGAUUUAUUGGGCGUAAAGAGCGUGUAGGCUGUUCGGUAAGUCUGCCGUGAAAACCUGAGGCUCAACCUCGGGCGUGCGGUGGAUACUGCCGGGCUAGAGGACGGUAGAGGCGAGUGGAAUUCCCGGUGUAGCGGUGAAAUGCGCAGAUAUCGGGAAGGAACACCGGUGGCGAAGGCGGUCUGCUGGGCAGUAGCUGACACUGAGGCGCGACAGCGUGGGAGCAACAGG